AUUACCCAAUCCCGAUCCGGGGAGGUAGUGACAAUAAAUACUGAUACAGGGCUCUUUUGGGUCUUGUAAUUGGAAUGAGUACAAUCUAAAUCCCUUAACGAGGAACAAUUGGAGGGCAAGUCUGGUGCCAGCAGCCACGGUAAUUCCAGCUCCAAUAGCGUAUAUUAAAGUUGUUGCAGUUAAAAAGCUCGUAGUUGAACCUUGGGCCUGGCUGGCCGGUCCGCCUCACCGCGAGUACUGGUCCGGCUGGGCCUUUCCUUCUGGGGAACCCCAUGGCCUUCACUGGCUGUGGCGGGGAACCAGGACUUUUACUGUGAAAAAAUUAGAGUGUUCAAAGCAGGCCUUUGCUCGGAUACAUUAGCAUGGAAUAAUAGAAUAGGACGUGCGGUUCUAUUUUGUUGGUUUCUAGGACCGCCGUAAUGAUUAAUAGGGAUAGUCGGGGGCGUCAGUAUUCAGCUGUCAGAGGUGAAAUUCUUGGAUUUGCUGAAGACUAACUACUGCGAAAGCAUUCGCCAAGGAUGUUUUCAUUAAUCAGGGAACGAAAGUUAGGGGAUCGAAGACGAUCAGAUACCGUCGUAGUCUUAACCAUAAACUAUGCCGACUAGGGAUCGGGCGGUGUUUCUAUGAUGACCCGCUCGGCACCUUACGAGAAAUCAAAGUUUUUGGGUUCUGGGGGGAGUAUGGUCGCAAGGC
rnacentral:rRNA from 1 species